CACCGGUUUCACGCCACCAGACGCACCAGUCCAACGAGUCAGCUUUAUACUGGGUGAAAAACAUUACGUACCACUCGGCUAUUGCGAGAGUGGAAGCUUCCUGGGUUUGAGUAUUCAAUCUGGAUUUUUAUUUCUGUUCUUGGAGAUGAGAGUCUUGUGGACUUUUGGGAUCUUUUCGCAGUUUUGGGAAUUUUUCUUCGACGGGGAAUUUAAUGGACUUUUGCACGGCUACAGUGGAAAAUCUUUUGUGCAUGGAGAAUGGCGUCGAAUCGAUCUUCAUCCAGAACUUGACUCAAAGCGCUCUUGUAUCU